rnacentral:lncRNA from 1 species
CAAUUUUUAAAGACCAUGGCAAACAAACAUAUUAACAAACACAUAAAGCAUAAAAUAAAUCAUCCAAAGAAGGGGGAAAGGAGAAAAGAGUUACGACCAAUAUCCUAUUAAUACAAUUUACCCUUUAACCCAUUAAAAUUUCCUAACCCAUUAUUAUAAAUAAGCAAUAAUAGAACCCAUUAAGGUCUUUUACAUCAAGCUUAAUAAUUACCAACAAUAAAUAAACUUAACCAUACAACCACAAUCACAGAAUAUAUACACCAACAAAAUUAAACAUACACACUCAUUCAUUCAUAAUGACAAAGUAAUGAAUGUUAAUGUUGAUAUAUUGUAAGGUUUGAUUAACAAAACUAAAGAGCAAUAAAGUAAAGUGCAUCAAAAUAAAGAACUGGAAUUUAAAAUGUGUAAAGCUAAAGGAACAGUAAACUAAAAGCAUUAAUUUAACGGUUUAAACAAUAUCUAAGAUCAAAGUCUUGAAGUUCAUCAUGGUUUAUGAACAAAUUGAUUCAUCACUACCGGUUUCUUAUUGAUUUUAUGUUUAUUUAGUCUAUAAUGAGUCGCAUUCGCGAUUUAGAGCAAGAUAGCCCUGUGCUUGACUCAAAGGAACUCUGAAUCGAGACCAUUUUAUUGAUUUUUAUGUUCUAGACCUUUGAAAUGAAGGUUCGUACGCCACUAUAGAAUUCUUCUAGUUGAUCACUGAUUUCGCUCCCAACUAGUUAUAAGAAGGUGUUUUUAAGACACCCAAAUCAAGAAAAAGAUGAAGAAAUGUUAAAAGGCUCUCAAGGGUUACCUUAUCUUGAAGAAAUCCAAAGAGUUUGGGGAAAAAGGAAUCAAAGACCCAAAACCUUUCAACUUGAAUCAAUGAAUCCGAGAUAAGUUUUAAUCUCAGUGUUUCUGGGUUUUUUAGUCACUAAAUAAGGGAUGAAUUUCUAUAAAUGUUUGUAUAAACACCUAGAAUCCAAGAGAAAACACAAGUUUUCUUAGGUUAAAGGCGUUGAGUAUAAAAAAAAUAAGAGUUUCCCUUAUCCACUUAAAAAAACCUCCUUUGCAUAAUUCCCAAUGUCCUAUUUAUAAGCAAAUGGUAAAAGUGUUGCCCUAUUCUAGGGCUUAGGUGGCAAGUGCCACUGGUGGGCCCUAAAAUCGAUCCGAGCCGUUUUUACUAAAUUAGACCGGGUGGCACGUAAAAUGAGGUGGCAUACCAAAAAGUGCGUCGAGCAGACCUAAAGCACUUCCUAGGCCCAGUUUUGCUGCGAAAUCCCUAGAAAUCCAAAAAAGUAAAUACAAUCAAACAACUCAAUUAUCUUAGCCGCGGACCAUUGGUUCGGGAAUUAGAGCAAUCGGAUGUCCCAAUUCGGUUUUAUGCAGAAAGGUUAUCAUCACUUAGAAUUUUGGGACAAAAAUUGAGCGUCUGCAGCUUCAAAUGCCUUCUUCUUAUUCUACUUCUUCUUGGGCUUCUUCUUAGCUUUAGAAGACUGAACUAGAAGUACAUGAGCUUUAUCCUUCUUAAAGGUUCCUCCAAUAGUGGUAAGCACAUCUAACAACUCAGGUAUGAAUGCAUCCAACUUGUUCAUAUUAAAAUUCAAAAUAAAUUGUGAAUAGCUAGGUGGUAAGGAGUAUAAGACUAAGUCAAUAGUUAAUUCAUGGUCCAUACAAUGUCUAAUUGGCCCAAUUUCUCAAAAUAACCAAUCAUUUUCAGAGCGUGAACACGGACUGAAGAGCUUUCUGCUAUUUUACAGCGGAACAAUUCUUUAGAGGCUCAUACCUCUCAGCCCCACCUUGAGAAUCAAAUAGUUCCCUGAGAUGUAAGAUAAUGGUGCAAUCAUCCAUAUUAUCAUGCUGCUUUUGAGGGUCAGGAAUCAUACUGGCUAACAUUAGACAUGUAGCUUGCUCGACAUCAUCAAUAUGAUGAAUAUAGUUAUCCUUUUCCUCAUCAGCAACAUCAUUAGUGGGAAUAUCAGGUUUGUUUUUAUUAAGGACAUAUAACCUCUUUUCUUGCUUGAGAACAAUUCUCAAAUUGCGAUACUAGCCCAAACAGUUGACCUUGAGAAUUUCAAUAGCAUAUGGAAGAGUUCCAUACAAAUCAGGAUUUUGUUUGAUGUUCGCAAUCUACUGAACGGUUGCCGAAUUCUACUUUAUUUGUGGCAUAAUCGGGCACUCAAAAAAGUUUUUCCAUAACUUGGUGGAGGGAUUGUUGCCGCCAUAAGAAGUAUGUAUUCCUUUAAAAUUAGGUCUGGUUCACAGGGGUUUGUCAGGCUGAGGGAGCGCAAUGGUUGCAAGAUGAAGUUCCGAUGGAGUAGGCAGCUACUAAGGAAAUAGUUGGAGUUGGAGGAAAUAGUGGAAGUCAGUUUGAUCCCAUACACAAAGCUGAUUGUGGCCUAGAAAGGGAUCGU